GUCCCAACAUAGCUGGACUGGGAUUGCUCAUUAAGUUAAAACAAUUCACAUUAAACCAAUCAUAGAUGCACCUGUAGGUAAGCUACCUCCAAACCACAUUCCAAGCAAUCAGAUAACUAUUGUUUACAUUUCUUUUCUGAGGCUUCUCAGCUUCUCAGGUGAAAAAUCCUGGCGAAGGGAUUUUUCAUAAAAUAUGACAGAGGGGCCCUUGUCUUUCUGAUCACGAUAUGUUUAGGUUCUAAAUCAUUUCAGAUAGGAGUCUAAGUAACUUUAUUCAGUAGAAGUAUGGCUUUUUCAAAAGUGCAUUGUAUUCUGAAAAUGCUUCCUCAAAUGCAGAAUAUAGCAGGAAUUUGAAACUGUGUAAUGACAACUUAAGGAUGUGGAUGAAAAUCAGUACUCCUAUCUCAGAAUCUUUGCUAGUCAGAGUGACCCUGAGAUACGUACAAGCCUCUUUUUCCCAGCCUGGCAGUUGAAUAAGGAGUCAAGAUUUUUCUGUUCUUGUCCUCAAGGUUGUUUAUUAUUUCUUAUCUAUAACAUUCUUUCUCUGACCCACCACAGAUCUGUCUGGCCCGUUGGGUUGAGGCACACUGCCCGCCCUCGGGGUGGGGUUAUCUUUUUAUACUAAAAACUACAUGUACAUUAUUUACCAUAACUUCCCAAUACCUAUCACCUAUGUUAGACAGUGAGUUUCUAUCUUAAACCAAUCCAAAAGUGCCAACAUCACCCAGAACAUGGAGGCUAUGGAGAAGAAAAAAGAAGGACAAGGCAUGCCCAAAUUCCUCCAUCUUGGGACCCUGAGCCCCCAUUCUAAAACCCCAAAAAUCUAUUUUUCACCCCAUGACUAACUAUUAAUCUACUUAAACUCUCUUGACUUAUAAUUCUUCUUAUAAAGGUGGUAAUUUGCUCCUUGGAUCAAAAUCAAAGUCACAGGUGUCCUGUGUCCUGGGCUCUAUGCCAAGGUGUCUGAGUCCCCUGGGCAGGGGCUCGAGCCAUCCAGGACAGCCAGAGGCAUGUCCUGGGUUCCAACACUCCUACACUUGUAGUGAUUAACCUGUAGAACUUGCCAUCUGCAAUGUAUAUAAUUGAGGUAAAUAGAUUUGUGAGGAUCAAAUAGGGAUUAGAACCAUAAAUAAGCUAAUUUCUGUAUGCAGGAUAAAAAUUUCAGGGUCUGUGUAUCUCCCUACUUGUAGGCAGAACAGAGCAUAUCUGAUGCUAGAAAAGCAGCUUUACCCCUUGGGCAUGUAGCAGAGUUGUUCUAGCAGGAAGGAGGACGUCACUUUUGGCUGAAGUGUUAUUGUAUUUGUCCUGGUGGUAUAACUUCUUUGAGGCAGGAAACAAAUAUUUCUUCAUGGUCCAGUAUUAAUGUGUCUGGCAAAUACACCUUCACCAAGAAGCUCCUUCUGUUAAGGGUGGAGGAGACAGAAUUUUCUCUCUCUACUGCCACAAGGGUGAAGAAAUUAACACCCCUGGCCCCAUUUUACGUGUUGUCAUUAUCUGUUCUCAAUGCACGUUGCCUUUCUGUGACCAGGCAUUUCCCACCAUAGAAGUGGCAGUACCUCUGGAGCAAUGAAGGGAUGCCAGGAGAUGACAACAGAAUGACAGAAGUUGUUACCUACAUUACUUAGUGCAAAAUGGGAAAAUAAUCAUAUCCUGGUGGUCCAAGUGUUGUUGCAUUAAACCUAAUUCUGACAGAGAGCAAACAGAUGAUACCAGCAGGCUGUUAGUACAAAGGUGCUGGAUUGAUUAUGUUGCUUGUUACUUCAUGAGAAAACCUGGUUUUAAUGAAUAGAGCAAAGUGGGCAUGUAAGUGACCUGCACAGUUCUGUCAUGGUUCUAAUCAUGUUCACGUUAACUUCAAUUAUUAGAAGCUACUUCUGAAUGUUUACAGUGAUCAACUUCCAGUUCUAUAAUUACUCCUGUGCUUCCUAUGAUUUAUGGGGUGCCAACUGCUCAGAGCUUGAUGGACAGGAAAGCAAUACCAAAAUGUUACUGGACACUAAUUGGCAUCCUUGUUGGCAGAAUCAGCAGAAAGACUCUUGACUGAACAGCAGUGGAGAAUAAAACAUUUCCUGUCCUAAAGGCAAUCUUUUUCUAGCAGUAUUGUUUGAUAUCCACAAUAUGGAAUAAAAUAAAACUUGCUGUAU